rnacentral:rRNA from 1 species
GACGAACGCUGGCGGCGUGCUUAACACAUGCAAGUCGAACGGAAAGGCCCUGCUUUUGUGGGGUGCUCGGGUGGCGAACGGGUGAGUAACACGUGAGUAACCUGCCCUUGACUUUGGGAUAACUUCAGGAAACUGGGGCUAAUACCGGAUAGGAGCUCCUGCUGCAUGGUGGGGGUUGGAAAGUUUCGGCGGUUGGGGAUGGACUCGCGGCGUAUCAGCUUGUUGGUGGGGUGGUGGCUUACCAAGGCUUUGCCGGGUAGCCGGCCUGAGAGGGUGACCGGCCACAUUGGGACGGGGAUACGGCCCAGACUCCUACGGGAGGCAGCAGUGGGGAAGGGUGCACAAGGGGCGGAAGCCUGAUGCAGCAACGCCGCGUGCGGGAUGACGGCCUUCGGGUUGGAAACCGCUUUCGCCUGUGACGAAGCGUGAGUGACGGUAAUGGGUAAAGAAGCACCGGCUAACUACGUG